AGGCCACAGUUUCUCUUAAAAGGCUGUUGUACCAUAUGAAUGCUGAAAGGGCCUCAAUGUAGGAUCAGUUCCUGAAAGUUAUGUUCAACGUAGAGAAGGUUCCGCUUCAUCCAGCUAUACGCAAGACAUCGUGGCAAAGGGAGUGCAAUCGCACCGAGUCAAAGAUCAAAACCUGAAAGAUACGACACUGGAUGACAACAAUAUUGUUGUGAUGUGGUCAAAAUUGACGGGAAAUGAGUGGACAUUAAUGUUACUGAGGUUAAUAAUACUGUAGGAACAAAAACACCCCCAAAUUCUGUGAUUUUAGCUGUUUUUAUAAAAAAAAAAAAAAAAUCCAGAUCCAAAACCAAAACCCACAAGGGCGGUUCUGGCAAAACCAAUCCAGAUCCAAAACCAAAACACAAAACCCAAGAAAAGUGCUGGAGCACAUCCCUAAUAUAGAUUAACAAUUGUGCAUAACAGUUUCAAAUAUAUUUUGUUUUUGGAAAAGUGACAUUAGCUUUUAAGAAUUAAGGGGGUCAUUCCGAGUUGAUCGCUAGCUGCCGUUGUUCGCAGCACAGCGAUCAGGCAAAAAAUCGGAAUUUCUGCGCAUGUGUAUGGGCCGCCUUGCGCACGCGCAAAGUACUUUCACACAAAACUGUGCAGUUUUACACAAGGUCGAGCGACUCAUUUCAGUCGUACGGCUGAUCGGUGAGUGAUUGACAGGAAUGGGGCGUUUCUGGGAGGUAACUGACCGUUUUCCGGGAGUGUGCUAGAAAAUGCAGGCGUGUCAGAAGAUAACGCAGGCGUCCCUUGGGAAACGGGGGAGUGGCUGGCCGAACACAGGGCGUGUAUGUGACGUCAAAACAGGAACUAAACGGUCUGCAGUGAUCGCAAGGUAGGAGUAGGUUUGGAGCUACUCAGAAAUGGCAUGAACAUUUUUUCGAGCAGUUCUGCUAACCUUUCGCUCGCACUUCUGCUAAGCUAAGAUACACUCCCAGAGGGCGGCAGCUUAGUGUGUGCACUGCUGCUAAAAGCAGCUAGCGAGCGAUCAACUCGGAAUGAGGGCCUAAGAGUAUUGCUAGUGACCCUUUAAUAAUAAACAGCACUCAUUAGAAGAAAAUAAAAACUUUAUCUUUAGAAACUGAAAAUACAAGAAUGGGCUAAUUAAAAUAUUUUGACGCUUUUUAAACAGCUAGACGUUUAAUUUGUUUUUUGCCUGUUGUUUUAUUGAGUAAUGAAAAUUAAACUGUCACUCAAAAAAUCCA